rnacentral:rRNA from 1 species
GGGUUGUGAGGUUAAGCGACUAAGCGUACACGGUGGAUGCCCUGGCAGUCAGAGGCGAUGAAGGACGUGCUAAUCUGCGAUAAGCGUCGGUAAGGUGAUAUGAACCGUUAUAACCGGCGAUUUCCGAAUGGGGAAACCCAGUGUGUUUCGACACACUAUCAUUAACUGAAUCCAUAGGUUAAUGAGGCGAACCGGGGGAACUGAAACAUCUAAGUACCCCGAGGAAAAGAAAUCAACCGAGAUUCCCCCAGUAGCGGCGAGCGAACGGGGAGGAGCCCAGAGCCUGAAUCAGUAUGUGUGUUAGUGGAAGCGUCUGGAAAGGCGCGCGAUACAGGGUGACAGCCCCGUACACAAAAAUGCACAUGCUGUGAGCUCGAUGAGUAGGGCGGGACACGUGGUAUCCUGUCUGAAUAUGGGGGGACCAUCCUCCAAGGCUAAAUACUCCUGACUGACCGAUAGUGAACCAGUACCGUGAGGGAAAGGCGAAAAGAACCCCGGCGAGGGGAGUGAAAAAGAACCUGAAACCGUGUACGUACAAGCAGUGGGAGCACGCUUAGGCGUGUGACUGCGUACCUUUUGUAUAAUGGGUCAGCGACUUAUAUUCUGUAGCAAGGUUAACCGAAUAGGGGAGCCGAAGGGAAACCGAGUCUUAACUGGGCGUUAAGUUGCAGGGUAUAGACCCGAAACCCGGUGAUCUAGCCAUGGGCAGGUUGAAGGUUGGGUAACACUAACUGGAGGACCGAACCGACUAAUGUUGAAAAAUUAGCGGAUGACUUGUGGCUGGGGGUGAAAGGCCAAUCAAACCGGGAGAUAGCUGGUUCUCCCCGAAAGCUAUUUAGGUAGCGCCUCGUGAAUUCAUCUCCGGGGGUAGAGCACUGUUUCGGCAAGGGGGUCAUCCCGACUUACCAACCCGAUGCAAACUGCGAAUACCGGAGAAUGUUAUCACGGGAGACACACGGCGGGUGCUAACGUCCGUCGUGAAGAGGGAAACAACCCAGACCGCCAGCUAAGGUCCCAAAGUCAUGGUUAAGUGGGAAACGAUGUGGGAAGGCCCAGACAGCCAGGAUGUUGGCUUAGAAGCAGCCAUCAUUUAAAGAAAGCGUAAUAGCUCACUGGUCGAGUCGGCCUGCGCGGAAGAUGUAACGGGGCUAAACCAUGCACCGAAGCUGCGGCAGCGACACUAUGUGUUGUUGGGUAGGGGAGCGUUCUGUAAGCCUGUGAAGGUGUACUGUGAGGUAUGCUGGAGGUAUCAGAAGUGCGAAUGCUGACAUAAGUAACGAUAAAGCGGGUGAAAAGCCCGCUCGCCGGAAGACCAAGGGUUCCUGUCCAACGUUAAUCGGGGCAGGGUGAGUCGACCCCUAAGGCGAGGCCGAAAGGCGUAGUCGAUGGGAAACAGGUUAAUAUUCCUGUACUUGGUGUUACUGCGAAGGGGGGACGGAGAAGGCUAUGUUGGCCGGGCGACGGUUGUCCCGGUUUAAGCGUGUAGGCUGGUUUUCCAGGCAAAUCCGGAAAAUCAAGGCUGAGGCGUGAUGACGAGGCACUACGGUGCUGAAGCAACAAAUGCCCUGCUUCCAGGAAAAGCCUCUAAGCAUCAGGUAACAUCAAAUCGUACCCCAAACCGACACAGGUGGUCAGGUAGAGAAUACCAAGGCGCUUGAGAGAACUCGGGUGAAGGAACUAGGCAAAAUGGUGCCGUAACUUCGGGAGAAGGCACGCUGAUAUGUAGGUGAAGCGACUUGCUCGUGGAGCUGAAAUCAGUCGAAGAUACCAGCUGGCUGCAACUGUUUAUUAAAAACACAGCACUGUGCAAACACGAAAGUGGACGUAUACGGUGUGACGCCUGCCCGGUGCCGGAAGGUUAAUUGAUGGGGUCAGCGCAAGCGAAGCUCUUGAUCGAAGCCCCGGUAAACGGCGGCCGUAACUAUAACGGUCCUAAGGUAGCGAAAUUCCUUGUCGGGUAAGUUCCGACCUGCACGAAUGGCGUAAUGAUGGCCAGGCUGUCUCCACCCGAGACUCAGUGAAAUUGAACUCGCUGUGAAGAUGCAGUGUACCCGCGGCAAGACGGAAAGACCCCGUGAACCUUUACUAUAGCUUGACACUGAACAUUGAGCCUUGAUGUGUAGGAUAGGUGGGAGGCUUUGAAGUGUGGACGCCAGUCUGCAUGGAGCCGACCUUGAAAUACCACCCUUUAAUGUUUGAUGUUCUAACGUUGACCCGUGAUCCGGGUUGCGGACAGUGUCUGGUGGGUAGUUUGACUGGGGCGGUCUCCUCCUAAAGAGUAACGGAGGAGCACGAAGGUUGGCUAAUCCUGGUCGGACAUCAGGAGGUUAGUGCAAUGGCAUAAGCCAGCUUGACUGCGAGCGUGACGGCGCGAGCAGGUGCGAAAGCAGGUCAUAGUGAUCCGGUGGUUCUGAAUGGAAGGGCCAUCGCUCAACGGAUAAAAGGUACUCCGGGGAUAACAGGCUGAUACCGCCCAAGAGUUCAUAUCGACGGCGGUGUUUGGCACCUCGAUGUCGGCUCAUCACAUCCUGGGGCUGAAGUAGGUCCCAAGGGUAUGGCUGUUCGCCAUUUAAAGUGGUACGCGAGCUGGGUUUAGAACGUCGUGAGACAGUUCGGUCCCUAUCUGCCGUGGGCGCUGGAGAACUGAGGGGGGCUGCUCCUAGUACGAGAGGACCGGAGUGGACGCAUCACUGGUGUUCGGGUUGUCAUGCCAAUGGCACUGCCCGGUAGCUAAAUGCGGAAGAGAUAAGUGCUGAAAGCAUCUAAGCACGAAACUUGCCCCGAGAUGAGUUCUCCCUGACUCCUUGAGAGUCCUGAAGGAACGUUGAAGACGACGACGUUGAUAGGCCGGGUGUGUAAGCGCAGCGAUGCGUUGAGCUAACCGGUACUAAUGAACCGUGAGGCUUAACCUUACAACGCCGAAGGUGUUU